CCUACGGGAGGCAGCAGUGAGGAAUAUUGGUCAAUGGGCGGAAGCCUGAACCAGCCACGUAGCGUGCAGGAUGACGGCCCUACGGGUUGUAAACUGCUUUUAUACGGGAAUAACUCGCCUUACGUGUCUGUCUUUGCAUGUACCGUAUGAAUAAGGACCGGCUCAUUCCGUUCCAGCAGCCGCGGUAAUACGGAAGGUCCGGGCGUUCUCCGGAUUUAUUGGGUUUAAAGGGAGCGUAGGGCGCAUGUCAAGCGUGAUGUGAAAUGUCCGGGCUCAACCCGGGCCUUGCAGCGCGAACUGGAGUGCUUGAGUGCGCGGAAAGCAGGCGGAAUUCGUCGUGUAGCGGUGAAAUGCUUAGAUAUGACGAAGAACCCCGAUUGCGAAGGCAGCUUGCUGCAGCGGAACUGACGCUGAUGCUCGAAAGCGUGGGUAUCGAACAGGAUUAGAUACCCGGGUAGUC
rnacentral:rRNA from 1 species